rnacentral:lncRNA from 1 species
AGGCGCGCGGGUCAGAGCGCCUGUCAGCCGCUGGGUCGGUCCUCCCGCUGGCCCUCCCCCUCCCCGGCCUUCGGGGCAGGCGCGGUGGAGCCCGCCCCUCGGGUCCCCCGAUGGGGGAGAAGCGGCAACGGCGGCAGCGGAGUGAGCGAGCCGGAGCGUGAGUGGCCCCGCGGCGGCCAUGGGCGACCCAGCCCCCGCCCGAAGCUUGGACGACAUCGACCUGUCUGCCCUGAGGGACCCUGCAGGAAUCUUUGAGCUGGUGGAGGUGGUUGGCAAUGGAACCUAUGGACAGGUGUACAAGGUGAGACAGGGACAAAAAUACAGCCUUCAAACCUGUGCGGGCCUCUUGAGAAGAAUGGAGGAAGGGGAGUUCUAGGUCUGGCAGUCUGAGGGAAGCUACAGGAGACGACAGAGGCUGUGGACCCCUCAGAGAAGGAGGAAAGCACACACCGCAGAGAGCAGCAACAGAAAGAAGAAGGAAGACAUCUAAGUGUAGAAGUGCUUUUGGGUGUGGCAGGAACCAGUCUGCAGCGGGCAGUUGUGAGUAGGAAGCAGGAAGAGCAUGUGGGGACAUGAGUGUCAGGGCUCACCUGGACAUUCACAGAUCAUGACAGAAUUGUGGGUCAGCACCUCCCAAGCUCACAAGGAGACUUGGGGUUGAUGGGACCUCACUGGUGGCCUGCAGAGAGGAAGCAGCUUUGGGACCUCCAGCAACUGCUUACGUCAGGGAGCCAGCAGAGCCCAAGCCUCCUGGUUUUGAGCUGCUUCUCCUCCCCACAGAAGUGGCAUUUCCUCUGCCCCCCACCCCCCCAUUAGCCUUUUCAGCUUGGCCAGCUCAGCCCUCUCAGAUAGCCAAGUCUCCUCCCCUACGUAAAGUGGCCACAUCAGUGAGGGGAUUGGAUGGGUGCUGCCCCCAGGAACAUUUAGUCUGCUUCCUUGUCUCAGGACAGCUCCUGACGUUUCCACAGAUGCCCCUGCCUGUCUGGGC